rnacentral:ncRNA from 1 species
CUUUGGCAUCCAGAGUCCCACGCGACCUCUUGAAGCGUGGGCGGCAACCGGGUCAAGCGCGAUCACGGUGCCGAGGUCAGCCCUUCUGGGGUGAUGCGGCACGCAAGGCCAUGCCUUGUGCAGCAACAUCAGCGCUCGUUGA